UACAGAGGGGGCAAGCGUUAUUCGGAAUUAUUGGGCGUAAAGGGCGCGUAGGCGGCUUGGCAAGUGGAUGGUGAAAUCCCUCGGCUUAACCGAGGAACUGCCAUCCAGACUGCUUUUGCUUGAGGCCGGGAGAGGUGAGUGGAAUUCCCCAGUGUAGCGGUGAAAAUGCGUAGAUAUUGGGAGGAACACCAGUGGCGAAGGCGGCUCACUGGACCGGUUCUGACGCUGAUGCGCGAAAAGCGUGGGGGAGCAAAACGGG
rnacentral:rRNA from 1 species